rnacentral:tRNA from 2 species
GUCGCAUUGGCGCAAUGGUAGCGCGCAAGACUUCUAGCCACGAGAUCUUGAGGCUGUGGGUUCGAGCCCCACAUGCGAUG